rnacentral:rRNA from 1 species
GACGAACGCUGGCGGCGUGCUUAACACAUGCAAGUCGAACGGAAAGGCCCUGCUUUUGUGGGGUGCUCGAGUGGCGAACGGGUGAGUAACACGUGAGUAACCUGCCCUUGACUUUGGGAUAACUUCAGGAAACUGGGGCUAAUACCGGAUAGGAGCUCCUGCUGCAUGGUGGGGGUUGGAAAGUUUCGGCGGUUGGGGAUGGACUCGCGGCUUAUCAGCUUGUUGGUGGGGUAGUGGCUUACCAAGGCUUUGACGGGUAGCCGGCCUGAGAGGGUGACCGGCCCCAUUGGGCCUGAGAUACGGCCCAGACUCCUACGGGAGGCAGCAGUGGGAAAUAUUGCACAAUGGGCGGAAGCCUGAUGCAGCAACGCCGCGUGCAGGAUGACGGCCUUCGGGUUGUAAACCGCUUUCGCCUGUGACGAAGCGUGAGUGACGGUAAUGGGUAAAGAAGCACCGGCUAACUACGUG